rnacentral:tRNA from 1 species
GCCUUCGUGGUGUAGUGGUCAGCACACUCGGCGCGUACUCCAGAGGUCCAAGGUUUGAGUCCUGGCGAGGGCA